UCCUGGCUUAGGAUGAACGCUGGCGGCGUGCUUAACACAUGCAAGUCGAACGGAGCCUAGCGAGUGCUUGCACUUGCGAAAGCUUAGUGGCGGACGGGUGAGUAACGCGUGGGUAACCUGCCCUGUACUGGGGGAUAACAGUCGGAAACGACUGCUAAUACCGCAUAAGCCCACAUGGCCGCAUGGCCAAGGGGGAAAAAACUCCGGUGGUACAGGAUGGACCCGCGUCUGAUUAGCUAGUUGGUGAGGUAACGGCCCACCAAGGCGACGAUCAGUAGCCGGCCUGAGAGGGUGAACGGCCACAUUGGGACUGAGACACGGCCCAAACUCCUACGGGAGGCAGCAGUGGGGAACAUUGCACAAUGGGGGAAACCCUGAUGCAGCCGACGCCGCGUGAGCGAUGAAGUAUUUCGGUAUGUAAAGCUCUAUCAGCAGGGAAGAAAAUGACGGUACCUGACUAAGAAGCACCGGCUAAAUACGUGCCAGCAGCCGC
rnacentral:rRNA from 1 species